ACCUAGAAAGCAUAGCUGUAAAGAGGUACCAUGUGGAGGUACAGUCCUAUGAUAUACCUAGAAAGCAUAGCUUUAAAGAAGUACCAAGUGGAGGUACAGUCCUGUGAUAUAGCUUAAAUGCAUAGCUGUAAAGAGGUACCAUGUGGAGGUACAGUCCUAUGAUAUACCUUGAAUGCAUAGCUGUAAAGAGGUACCAUGUGGAGGUACAGUCCUAUGAU